rnacentral:rRNA from 1 species
CACCUCUAGCAUCACCAGUAUUAGAGGCACCGCCUGCCCAGUGACACAUGUUUAACGGCCGCGGUACCCUAACCGUGCAAAGGUAGCAUAAUCACUUGUUCCCUAAAUAGGGACUUGUAUGAAUGGCCACACGAGGGUUUUACUGUCUCUUACUUCCAAUCAGUGAAAUUGACCUUCCCGUGAAGAGGCGGGAAUGACUAAAUAAGACGAGAAGACCCUAUGGAGCUUUAAUUAACUGAUUCACAAAAAACAACACACAAACCUAACCUUCAGGGACAACAAAACUUUUGAUUGAAUCAGCAAUUUCGGUUGGGGUGACCUCGGAGAACAAAACAACCUCCGAGUGAUUUAAAUCCAGACUAACCAGUCAAAAUAUAUAAUCACUUAUUGAUCCAAACCAUUGAUCAACGGAACAAGUUACCCUAGGGAUAACAGCGCAAUCCUAUUCCAGAGUCCAUAUCGACAAUUAGGGUUUACGACCUCGAUGUUGGAUCAAGACAUCCUAAUGGUGCAACCGCUAUUAAGGGUUCGUUUGUUCAACGAUUAAAGUCUU